rnacentral:rRNA from 1 species
GACGAACGCUGGCGGCGUGGAUUAGGCAUGCAAGUCGAACGGUAUCAUCCUUUCGGGGGUGAGAGAGUGGCGAACUGGUGAGUAACACGUAGGUUAUCUACCCUCAAGACGGGGACAACCCAGGGAAACUUGGGCUAAUACCGGAUGUGAGCAACUUUUAGUUGUUUGAAAGGUGGCGUAAGCUGUCGCUUGGGGAUGAGCCUGCGUCCUAUUAGUUAGUUGGUGAGGUAACGGCUCACCUAGGCAAUGAUAGGUAGGCGGCCUUAACGGGUGGCCGCCCACACUGGGAUUGAGAUACGGCCCAGACUCCUACCGGGAGGCAGCAGUCGAGAAUAGUCUACAAUGGUCGGAAGACUGAUAGUGCGACGCCGCGUGAACGAUGAAUCCCUUCGGGGUGUAAAGUUCUUUUAUAUGUGAGCAGUGCUUCUUAUAUUAACAGUAUGGGGAGAGAGAUAUUAGCAUAUGAAUAAGCAACGGCUAAACUCCGUGCCAGCAGCCGCGGUAAACUCG